rfam:Ashbya gossypii ATCC 10895 chromosome VI, complete sequence.
GGGCGUGUGGUCUAGUGGUAUGAUUCUCGCUUUGGGUAAGCGAAGCCGCGGUUCACUGCGGCUUAACUACUAAACAUGUGAGAGGCCCUGGGUUCAAUUCCCAGCUCGCCCC